GGGUGUUUGGUCUAGUGGUAUGAUUCUCGCUUCGGGUGCGAGAGGUCGGGAGUUCGAUUCUCCCAACACCCC
rfam:Oryza glaberrima chromosome 3 Oglab03_0047_13, whole genome shotgun sequence.